CUCUGAUCAGAGAAAGAGACGCUUUGGUCAAACAUUAGUUAGAGAGAGAGAGAGAGAGAGAGAGAGAGAGAGAGAGAGAGAGAGAGAGAGAGAGAGAGAGUGU